rnacentral:rRNA from 1 species
UGCCAGCAGCCGCGGUAAUACGGAGGGUGCAAGCGUUAAUCGGAAUUACUGGGCGUAAAGCGCGCGUAGGCGGUUUGUUAAGCGAGAUGUGAAAGCCCUGGGCUCAACCUGGGAACUGCAUUUCGAACUGGCAGGCUAGAGUACAAGAGAGGGUGGUAGAAUUUCCUGUGUAGCGGUGAAAUGCGUAGAUAUAGGAAGGAAUACCAGUGGCGAAGGCGGCCACCUGGCUUGAUACUGACGCUGAGGUGCGAAAGCGUGGGGAGCGAACAGGAUUAGAUA